AAGUCGUAACAAGGUUUCCGUAGGUGAACCUGCGGAAGGAUCAUUAUUGAAUAAACUUGGUUAGGUUGUUGCUGGCUCUUCGGAGCAUGUGCACGCCGACUCCAUCUUUAACCACCUGUGCACUUUGCGUAGAUCUGAACAUUUCGAGUACACUCGGUUUGAGAAUUGUUGUGCGUAAGCCAGCUCUUCUUGUAUUCAGGUCUAUGUUUUCACAUACCCCAUAUGAAUGUAUACGAAUGUUGCAAUUGGCCUUGUGCCUUUAAAACAAAUACAACUUUCAACAACGGAUCUCUUGGCUCUC
rnacentral:misc_RNA from 1 species